rnacentral:tRNA from 1 species
GAGGGUAUAGCUCAGUCGUAGAGUGUGUGCUUAGCAUGUAUGAGGCCCUGGGUUCAAGCCCCAGUACCUCCA